rnacentral:snRNA from 1 species
UGUACUUUCAUGCUUUCAGCACAAUUGGAACAGAUUGGAUACAGAAAAGAUUAGCAUGGCCCCCACGCAAGGAUGAAAUGCAAAUCCGAGAAGUGUUCCAUAUUUUU